rnacentral:rRNA from 1 species
GUCAGCUCGUGUCGUGAGAUGUUGGGNUAANUCCCGCAACGAGCGCAACCCACGUCGUUAGUUGCCAGCAUUCAGUUGGGCACUCUAGCGAGACCGCCGGUGAUAAACCGGAGGAAGGUGUGGAUGACGUCAAGUCAUCAUGCCCCUUACAUCCUGGGCUACACACGUACUACAAUGCUNCGGACAAAGGGCAGCAAACUCGCGAGAGNUAGCAAAUCCCAUAAACCGNG